AUUCUUUUUUUUUUUUUUCUUUCAGCCAUUUCUUUUUAUUUACAGUUUGUGUUCAAUGCAAAUCAAUUCCAUAAGAAGUUACUAUGAAUCAAAGCGUAAAUACACAAACACAAUAUACAAUCCAAAAUAGAUGUACAGCAUUCUGGAAUAAAGCAAAAGAGUGUUCAUUCACACACACAGUAGCUUCAAAACGGUUCGAUCUGUUUGUUCUCAUGUAGUUUUGUAAAGAUGGAAAAAAAGGACUUUGGUCAUCAAGACUACUGUGGCCAUAUUAGAUUACUGGAACAUCUAAGCAUCAGUGUGUGACCAUGCGAACAAAAGACUUCGGGGAGUGUCUAUUUUUAAAAAGGUUUCUGUGUUUCGAGGCAGUUGUAAAAGAUUUACUGCAGAAUCAAGCCCACUUUUAGGCUUAGGACCAGGUUCUAACUAUCUAAAAAUGUUCUUCAAAUCAAUCAAAUUUGGGAUUCUCAACAUUUUCUGUGUCAAUAAAAGGUGUGGAAUUAG
rnacentral:lncRNA from 10 species